rnacentral:rRNA from 1 species
UAAUACCGCAUACGUCCUACGGGAGAAAGCAGGGGACCUUCGGGCCUUGCGCUAUCAGAUGAGCCUAGGUCGGAUUAGCUAGUUGGUGGGGUAAUGGCUCACCAAGGCGACGAUCCGUAACUGGUCUGAGAGGAUGAUCAGUCACACUGGAACUGAGACACGGUCCAGACUCCUACGGGAGGCAGCAGUGGGGAAUAUUGGACAAUGGGCGAAAGCCUGAUCCAGCCAUGCCGCGUGUGUGAAGAAGGUCUUCGGAUUGUAAAGCACUUUAAGUUGGGAGGAAGGGCAGUAAGUUAAUACCUUGCUGUUUUGACGUUACCGACAGAAUAAGCACCGGCUAACUCUGUGCCAGCAGCCGCGGUAAUACAGAGGGUGCAAGCGUUAAUCGGAAUUACUGGG